CGGACGGGUGAGUAACACGUGGAUAACCUACCUAUAAGACUGGGAUAACUUCGGGAAACCGGAGCUAAUACCGGAUAAUAUAUUGAACCGCAUGGUUCAAUAGUGAAAGACGGUUUUGCUGUCACUUAUAGAUGGAUCCGCGCCGCAUUAGCUAGUUGGUAAGGUAACGGCUUACCAAGGCAACGAUGCGUAGCCGACCUGAGAGGGUGAUCGGCCACACUGAACUGAGACACGGUCCAGACUCCUACGGGAGGCAGCAGCC
rnacentral:rRNA from 1 species